UAUCAAACAGGGAUCACGCAGCGCUGAAUCACCUUGUCAACAGUGUUGUGAUCCACAGGCACCGCCUCCAGCCAGCGCACCAUGUCAUCCACGUCCUGGCCACUCCUCCUCUGGACAGUCGACACAACUUCUGCUUACAAAGUGACGGUCCAACAAGGAUUCAGGGUCAUGAAACAUGAAGAACAUGUUCCUUAAUGUUGUGAAUAUUCAUGAAGUCAUGUUGUGAGAUGGUGAUGAGGAGGACUACACCCCCGACAAACCAGUCAGGCAGAAACCUGAAAGCCUGAAGCCGAGCACGUGGCCGCCAUAGACCGAUAUUGUGAAACCAGCCAGCUGUCAAACAUCUAUACGAGAAGAAGACGUUGUGAAACCAGCCAGCUGUCAAACAUCUAUACGAGAAGAAGACGUUGUGAAACCAGCCAGCUGUCAAACAUCUAUACGAGAAGAAGACAUUGUGAAACCAGCCAGCUGUCAAACAUCUAUACGA